rnacentral:tRNA from 1 species
GGGCUAUUAGCUCAGUUGGUUAGAGCGCACCCCUGAUAAGGGUGAGGCCACUGGUUCGAGUCCAGUAUAGCCCA